CCUACGGGAGGCAGCAGUAGGGAAUCUUGCGCAAUGGGCGAAAGCCUGACGCAGCCAUGCCGCGUGAAUGAUGAAGGUCUUAGGAUUGUAAAAUUCUUUCACCGGGGACGAUAAUGACGGUACCCGGAGAAGAAGCCCCGGCUAACUUCGUGCCAGCAGCCGCGGUAAUACGAAGGGGGCUAGCGUUGCUCGGAAUUACUGGGCGUAAAGGGAGCGUAGGCGGAUAGUUUAGUCAGAGGUGAAAGCCCAGGGCUCAACCUUGGAAUUGCCUUUGAUACUGGCUAUCUUGAGUACGGGAGAGGUGUGUGGAACUCCGAGUGUAGAGGUGAAAUUCGUAGAUAUUCGGAAGAACACCAGUGGCGAAGGCGACACACUGGCCCGUUACUGACGCUGAGGCUCGAAAGCGUGGGGAGCAAACAGGAUUAGAUACCCUGGUAGUCCACGCCGUAAACGAUGAGUGCUAGUUGUCGGCAUGCAUGCAUGUCGGUGACGCAGCUACGACAUUAAGACACCUCCGCCGUGGGGAGGUACGGGUCGGCGAAGAAGUUAAAACGUUAAAAGGUAAAGUUAGUUACGGCGUGAGACGUGCCGACGGACGACGACGAGGGAGGAGG
rnacentral:rRNA from 1 species